rnacentral:lncRNA from 1 species
CCUAAUUCUACUGCCGGACACUUGUCCAUUUUUUCUGCGGGGUUGUCGAGCACUUGCUCCUUUUUAUUUCCUCAAAAUAUCUUUAUUUUUGCAUAGCCCAUGCCUCUAAUGCAAUAAUACUUCGGAAGAGUGAAUCUUUCUGAAUAAAUGUCUUGAUCUUAGGAGCAUGAUAAAUCUCUCAACAAGGGUCUAACUCAUUUUGAACAAACUCAAUACAGAGAAGAUAGCUUUUAUAAUCAUAAUUAAUAUUUUUAGUUUUAUCAGGCAUAUAAAACACUGAGGAUGGUAGCU